AGUCACUGACAUUAGACUACCCGGGUAGUCCCAGCCGUAAACUAUGCGCGUUAGGUGUACUGGUGACCACGAGUCACCGGGGUGCCGAAGGGAAACCGUGAAACGUGCCGCCUGGGAAGUACGGUCGCAAGGCUGAAACUUAAAGGAAAUUGGCGGGGGAGCACCACAACGGGUGGAGCCUGCGGUUUAAUUGGACUCAACGCCGGAAAUCUCACCGGAUAGGACAGACAUAUGAUAGUCGGGCUGAAGACCUCUACUUGAUGAUCUG
rnacentral:rRNA from 1 species